rnacentral:tRNA from 2 species
AUUUGAAUAGUUUUUUAUAAAAUUAAGGUCUGUGGAUUCUUAGAUGGGUUCCCCUUCAAAUU